rnacentral:rRNA from 1 species
GACGAACGCUGGCGGCGUGCUUAACACAUGCAAGUCGAACGACGUGGCGAACGGGUGAGUAACGCGUAAUCAACCUGCCCUUCAGAGGGGGACAAAAGGUGGAAAAGACAGCUAAUACCGCAUACUGAAGGAGGGGAAUGCGGCUGAUUAGCUAGUUGGAGGGGUAAAGGACCAACAAGGCGAUGAUCAGUAGCCGGUCUGAUAGGAUGAACGUCCAAAGUGGGACUGAGACACGGCCCAGACUCCUACGGGAGGCAGCAGUGGGGAAUCUUCCGCAAGGGACGAAAGUCUGACGGAGCAACGCCGCGUGAGUGAUGACGGCUUUCGGGUUGUAAAGCUCUGUUAAUCGGGACGCGGUACCGGAAUAGAAAGCCACGGCUAACUACGUGCCAGCCGCCGCGGUAAUUC